rnacentral:rRNA from 1 species
AGAGUUUGAUCAUGGCUCAGGAUGAACGCUAGCUACAGGCUUAACACAUGCAAGUCGAGGGGCAGCAUUGAGAUAGCUUGCUAUUUCAGAUGGCGACCGGCGCACGGGUGAGUAACGCGUAUCCAACCUGGCCCGUAGUAGGGAACAGCCCGGCGAAAGUCGGAUUAAUGCCCUAUGUUCUCCGACGAAGACAUCUGAGUUGGAGCAAAGAUUCAUCGCUACGGGAUGGGGAUGCGUCUGAUUAGGUAGUAGGCGGGGUAACGGCCCACCUAGCCAACGAUCAGUAGGGGUUCUGAGAGGAAGGUCCCCCACAUUGGUACUGAGCCAGGAUCAAACUC